rnacentral:snRNA from 1 species
CCCCCCCAGUUUCUCUUCAGAUCGUAUAAAACUUUUGCCUUUUAGUAAAGAUUUCCGUAGAGAGGAACAUUUAUGAGUUUUUAACUAAUUUUUUGAGGCUCUGUCUUGGUU